rnacentral:rRNA from 1 species
GUGGACAAUCUGCCCUGAAGAGGAGGAUAAUCCCGGGAAACUGGGGGUAAUACUCCAUAGUUCGUGCUGACUGGAAUGUUAUGCGAACGAAAGAUCCGUCGCUUCAGGAUGAGUCUGCGGCCGAUUAGGUAGUUGUUGGGGUAACGGCCCAACAAGCCUGUCAUCGGUACGGGUUGUGGGAGCAAGAGCCCGGAGAUGGAUUCUGAGACACGAAUCCGGGCCCUACGGGGCGCAGCAGGCGCGAAAACUUUACCAUGCGGGCAACCGUGAUAAGGAAACCCCGAGUGCCAGCACAGGCUGGCUGUCCACCAGUGUAAAUAACUGGUGAAGAAAGGGCCGGGCAAGACCGGUGCCAGCCGCCGCGGUAAUACCGGCGGCUCGAGUGGUGGCCGCUAUUACUGGGCUUAAAGGGUCCGUAGCUGGAUAUACAAGUCCCUUGAGAAAUCCGCCGGCUUAACCGGUGGGCGUUCAGGGGAAACUGUAUUUCUAGGGACCGGGAGAGGUGAGAGGUACUGCCGGGGUAGGAGUGAAAUCCUGUAAUCCCGGUGGGACCACCUAUGGCGAAGGCAUCUCACCAGAACGGGUCCGACAGUGAGGGAC